CCGCCUCCUCCCUUCCCCCGUGGGUCCCUCCCUCUCUGGAUCCCCGCGUCGCUCACUCGCUCUCCUCGCGCACGCUCCGUCUCCGUCAGUCCCCUGAGCUGUUCUAGUGCGCGGCGUGGAGCCAGAGCCCAGGCUGGUGGAGCGCCGGGGCUGGAGGCUGCGAGUGCGGCGCGCACCGCCUCCCCGCGCCAUUAUCCGCGCCCGCUACGGGCGAGGCAGGCGCCGCGAUGGCAGAGAUGGGGAGCAAGGGGGUGACGGCGGGGAAGAUCGCCAGCAACGUGCAGAAGAAGCUGACCCGAGCGCAGGAGAAGGUCCUGCAGAAACUGGGGAAGGCGGAUGAGACUAAGGAUGAGCAGUUUGAACAGUGCGUCCAGAAUUUCAAUAAGCAGCUGACAGAGGGUACCCGUCUGCAGAAGGAUCUCCGGACCUACCUGGCUUCUGUUAAAGCCAUGCAUGAAGCCUCCAAGAAGCUGAGUGAGUGUCUCCAGGAGGUGUAUGAGCCCGAGUGGCCUGGCAGAGAUGAAGCAAACAAGAUUGCAGAGAACAAUGACCUACUAUGGAUGGACUACCACCAGAAGCUGGUGGAUCAGGCUCUACUGACCAUGGACACCUACCUGGGCCAGUUCCCUGACAUCAAGUCUCGCAUUGCCAAGCGGGGGCGGAAACUGGUGGACUAUGACAGUGCCCGGCACCACUAUGAGUCUCUUCAAACCGCCAAAAAGAAAGAUGAAGCCAAAAUUGCCAAGCCUGUCUCGCUGCUUGAGAAAGCCGCCCCCCAGUGGUGCCAAGGCAAACUACAGGCUCAUCUUGUAGCUCAAACUAACCUGCUCCGAAAUCAGGCAGAGGAGGAGCUCAUCAAAGCCCAGAAGGUGUUCGAGGAGAUGAAUGUGGACCUGCAGGAGGAGCUGCCAUCCCUGUGGAACAGCCGUGUAGGUUUCUAUGUCAACACGUUCCAGAGCAUCGCGGGCCUGGAGGAAAACUUCCAUAAAGAGAUGAGUAAGCUCAAUCAGAACCUCAACGACGUCCUGGUCAGCCUGGAGAAGCAACAUGGAAGCAACACCUUCACAGUCAAGGCCCAGCCCAGUGACAGUGCCCCUGAAAAGGGGAACAAGAGCCCUUCACCUCCUCCAGAUGGCUCCCCUGCUGCUACCCCCGAGAUCAGAGUGAACCAUGAGCCAGAGCCGGCCGGUGGGGCAUCACCGGGGGCCACCAUCCCCAAGUCCCCAUCUCAGCUCCGGAAAGGCCCACCUGUCCCUCCGCCUCCCAAACACACCCCAUCUAAGGAGAUGAAGCAGGAGCAGAUUCUCAGCCUUUUUGAUGACACAUUUGUCCCCGAGAUCAGCGUGACCACCCCCUCCCAGGUCAGCCGUGUCCACCGCGGCCCAGUCUUCUCCCCUUGCCACUUCUUCUCUUCCAGCACGCAUGGCCUUCCAUCGUCCACCCUGAGCUCCAAGCUUCUCUCAAGAGCCAAGAAUUUGGCUGGAGAGAUGGGCUGGAGCCUCCAUCUUUGGUCCAUCUAUCUCCCCUUUUCAUCAUUCUCCCAUCAUUAUCCAUUCCACCCACCCAAGCAUGCACCAUGGCGGGAUAAAGGGAUGUGCUACCGACAGGUCUUCCCUGUUCCUCAUGGCGGUGGUCAGCUUGGCUGUCACCUCACACUGAUUGGUGAUAUAAUGGGGACAUGGAGUGGCUGGGCAGCCAUAGGGCGAUCCCUGGUGCGGGUGACAUUUGCCAGGGAAGGAGUCGCAGGCAUUGUUCUAGUUAGAGAUAUCAGAACUGGGCCAGAAGGGACAAGAGACAGACUCAACAGGUGGUGCAGGUAGGAGUCAGGCAGAGCCCUGUUGGGUACUGUGAUGACCAAAGGGCAGAGACUAAUCUGUCAGCACUGCUGCUUCUAAGUGUCAUGAAAUGCCCACCCUCAGGUGGAGACAAAGACAGGGCCACCUUCUGUGCCGGGAAGACAUCUUGUUAAGACUGGAGCAGGCAGACACAGGAUCAGAGCAGCCUGGGGUGAUCAGCUCCCUGCUUCAAGCUGGCCUUAAGCCUCCUAGCCUCCCACCCUGUGCAGGGCUUCCCUUUCAAGGAGGUGGCUAUCCUAGAUCCUGGGGGACUUGGCCAGAUCCCUUCCCUUCACAGGUGUCUCUAGACUCUACCUUCCCCAGGAUCAUUUGUACAUCCCAGAUAUCUGGAGAAGGAGGCCAGGGUCUGAGGAUGGACUGUGGAAGGGGCAGCCUGGAAUGGAAAACAGGGACCACUACAACAGGAACCUAGAGAGGGUGGGCUUUUAGCUCCCGAGGAAGGACUAGGGGGUGGGACCAAAGCUCCUCUAUGAAAGAAGGUGAUCCAGAGGCCAGGAGGAAUAGGUAGUGUGGGAAUGGGGCUGAAAAUCUCCAGGCUCGCUCCUUGUGGGGCCAUUCCCUUCCUGAGCGUGCCUGUGCCUUGAGGGUGCCUGGGCAGGUGGCCGGCAUGUGUUUAAGGUGAGAGAUAUGGGAUAUCAUGGGGGGAGAUGUCGUAGCUACUUACUUAGGCCAUCUUGUUUGGUUUUCAACACCCCCUGUGAGGGGCCAUACCCUGUUUACCUGCUGAGCUUCCCAUGGUCAUGUGUCAGAGGGAGCCAUUGAAUGGCCCACCAGGCUCCAUGUAUGCCUGCCCCCCCCCCCAUGUCAUUGCAUGCCUUGCUUGCUGCUUCUCAUCUCCAUCUGCAGGGAGCCGGGACCUCCAGUCUGUUGGGGUGGGAGAAUACUUUGGGUGGUAUUGCAUGCAUGCGGGAGGGCUCAUGUCGUCCACGGUGCUUGUGCCAACAGGCUGCUUGGUGUCUGAUGUGGUGAGCAGUCUGCACCCGUGCAGUGUCUUGGUCUUGUGUGGGAAAGAGUCAUUUGCCAGAGGCAGGACUGAGAGGAGACAAGCAACACCCUCAUUGUGGGCCUCCCCCAACAGUGUUCCAGGAGUAUUGCUGUCUGGACUUGGGUGACUUCUAAGAAGUGCAGAAGGGGUGAGGCUGGUGGCUGUGUGUCUCAGGCACCUCCACGUCCUGAGGCCAUGGCCACGAGGCCUCUAGCCCAGCUUUCAGACAAGGCUGAACUGGAAGGAGAGUCAGCUAAGGGUCAACCAGAGGCCACUUGUUCUGGGAAGUGGGUCCACUUGGCUAGACCCAAUUGAAAGGGAUCACAGAUUCUCAUGCUGUUUGGGCUCUUAGUGUCCCCAGGACCAUAGAGGCUCCUCUGAAGAGCCGCAGGCCACAUCACAAUCUUUCUAACCUUUCUUGAUCGGGAGGGACAUGGACCUUGGGUGUUAUCUCCGAGUUGGGCCCCCAUGGAAAGCAAGUGGAGGUAAGAAGUUGCUGGCCUGAACUAGUAGGACUGUAGCCCCUCUGCUGUCACCUGAGGGCUGUGGAGGGGGCACACGGCACCAUAUCCUUGAUCGAACUGGGGUGGCGUCUGCCAGAGCUCUGAGGGGGAAGCCCACAAGCAAGACAAGUUUGUAGUGUCUUGAAGGCAGCUAAGUCAGAGUGUCCCUGAGGAGCUGCGGCUGCCUAGCACCCACCCAGCAUUGGAAGCCUGUCCCGGUCAGCUACUGCUGACUUGUUCAAGGGUCGCUUUUGAGGGUCUGGAGAGAGAUACCUCUCAUGAUGGCAUAUACUGGAGCUUUAUAGUGUUGGUGGAGAUCUAGCGUCAUAUAUACUGCUGGGCUGCAUCCAGGUUUCCCAAAAGGGAAUCCCGAGGUAUCUGUGGAUAUUGUCUACAGCUGUAAUGUAGGUACCCCAGCUGCCUGACACUGGGAUCCCACAAUGAAGGUGCCCUUUCCUCGUCCCUAGAGUUGGAUGGCAGGUUGGGGUGUCCCAGAGAGUGGUUUGGAUAGGUGCCAGUGUGAAACCUUGGACCUGAGGUCUCUGAGCUGGAAGACUGAGGUGGGCAUGUUCAGCCCAGGCCACAGCCUUGUGCUGCUCUUGAUACACAGGGCAAAGUCAGGUGAGCUUGUGGGGGCGAAGGGCCGAGAAGCCAUGGGAGUGAUCUGUUGUCAGCUGCUGGAAAAAUCUGGCUGGUUGUUGGAUGUCCUAGCUGGCAUCAGGUGUCUUCACGCAGUUGGGUGUAAUAAGAGCAUGACACUCCCACAUCAGUUGGGGGCCCGUACUAGUUUGUGUAGUUGUGGAUAAUACUUCUUCACGCGUGUGUGCAAAUGUGUGUGUAUGUGACUCCAUUUUCCUCGGUGUGCACAAGGCAUGGGCUCAGUCUGUUGCUAACUGCUUUCUUCCUCUGCUGCUGCUGUU